UACGUAGGGGGCAAGCGUUGUCCGGAUUUACUGGGUGUAAAGGGGGCGCAGACGGCGAUGCAAGCCAGGAGUGAAAGCCCGGGGCCCAACCCCGGGACUGCUCUUGGAACUGCGUGGCUGGAGUGCAGGAGGGGCAGGCGGAAUUCCUGGUGUAGCGGUGAAAUGCGUAGAUAUCAGGAGGAACACCGGUGGCGAAGGCGGCCUGCUGGACUGCAACUGACGUUGAGGCCCGAAGGCGUGGGGAGCAAACAGG
rnacentral:rRNA from 1 species